rnacentral:rRNA from 1 species
GACGAACCGUGCGAACGUUGUUCGGAAUCACUGGGCUUAAAGGGCGCGUAGGCGGAUCAUCAAGUCUAGGGUGAAAUCCUCCGGCUUAACCGGAGAACUGCCUUGGAUACUGAUGAUCUCGAGGGAGGCAGGGGCAGUUGGAACUUCCGGUGGAGCGGUGAAAUGCGUUGAUAUCGGAAGGAACGCCGGUGGCGAAAGCGAACUGCUGGACCUCUACUGACGCUGAGGCGCGAAAGCCAGGGGAGCAAACGGG